rnacentral:rRNA from 1 species
UACGGAGGGUGCAAGCGUUAUCCGGAUUCACUGGGUUUAAAGGGUGCGUAGGCGGGCAGGUAAGUCAGGGGUGAAAUCCCAGAGCUCAACUCUGGAACUGCCUUUGAUACUGGGUGUCUUGAGUAUGGAAGAGGUGAGUGGAAUUCCGGGUGUAGUGGUGGAAUGCGUAGAGAUCCGGAGGAACACCAGCGGCGAAGGCGGCAUCCUGGACUGGUCCUGACGCUCAGGAGCGAAAGCGUGGGGAGCGAUCCGG